AACAUUAACUUGCCAUACAUUGCUUGCUUACAUGUUUACACCAAGAUCUGUAAACAAGUUAUUUUUGUCCAUAUGAUCAUGUGUAGAGAUAGUAAGUGAUGAGAAGAUAAGAAUGGGCUGAUUGUUCUGACUCGUACAAGCCCCUAUGAAAGAAUUGACCACAAGGGGGUACACUCUGAACAAUUAUUUACAUUUGCAGUUUGUUAAAGAUUAAAUAAACCACAGUGAGCAUCAGAUGUCUGGUUUUAAUACAAAGUGGACUAUUUUAUGAUAUUACCAUCUUGUCAUUUAUCAAAGAAGAACUCCAAAACCUGAAAUUUGUUCAUUUUUAGACAGAAAAAUUCUGCAGUGUAGCUGUUCUAGUGGGCUUUCACCCUGGAAGUUUAGUCCAAAACAGAGCAGUUUGCAUGAAAAGUUGGUAAUGUGACCGUCGUAAUGUGGACCGGGAAGUGCACUGCGGUACCGAACCCGAGACUACCUGUAGAAGGUGGUCCGAGUUCAGUUACACUGGAACUGUGAAUUGUCCCAUGAAUGUGAACGUAACUUGUAUCCAGGUCCGCACUUAUUCAGGAAGUAGAGUAACCUGUGCUGAAGGCCUGUUGUGGUGAUGAUGUGUCAUGACACGUUUUGGCCCAAAUCUGCAGUAACUUUGAAAAAGUGGAAGCUCCUCUGAAUAUUGUGGAGUUUCUUGAUUUUGCGUUAAUUUCUGUGAUCACAAAAUGGUGAAAUUCUGGACUGACACAUGGAAGAUAUGGAAUGAUAACAGAAGAAUGUGACUUUGGGUUGUACCGUGUAUUUUUUUCAUGUAGCUUUAUUAUUUAGUAUAAAUGAAGGCAAGUGUGUGUUCUGUUCUUCAUCUCUGCAGUCGUGUGUUCCCUGAUAGUCACUGAUUGCUGGAGCUCUGGAAAUAGCAGGUGAGAUUGCAGGCCGGAGUCCCGUCGCUGUCCAGGGAACCAAAAUCAACCUCCUCUACUCCUGAGACCACAGUGUGACUGAGAGCCUAGACUACAUGGCUACUUGGAACAUGAACAUGUUGCAGACACAGGAUCUUAUGAAGUCAGCGCAGGAAGCCCUGGAAAAGAAGAGUCCGAAAAACGUGCCCUUCUCCAAGCUUUAAAGGAGAAGAUCCAGGGCUGUUGAAGCUCUGGUGGAACUGUUGUGGAUAAAAAAUGUCAUAAAAUAAACAUAAGGGAGAAGAAGGAAAAAUGGGCACCUUGACACGUAGAAGCGGGAUUAGGCGGACAUUGACAGAUUGGAAUUACGAGCAAUUUAAGAGCAGUAAUAGUCAAAAAAAAAAAGUCAAAAAGAAG